rnacentral:lncRNA from 1 species
UCCAAUUAGUUACUCUUCCAUUUCACUGUUAAGUUCUGAUAUAUUUGGGAUCGGUUAUAUAAAUCAUAUGCAUGAUCAUUCUACUUUAUUAAGGCAAAUUUGGAAUAAUUUAGACUAAGCAUUCUCUACAUCUCACACUCAUAUGCAGGUAGAAAUCUAAUGGUGCGCAAGUAAUUUAUAUAGGAGUGAGUCAUGACAAGUUUACUAACCAUUCUUGGUGCUCCGUCAAUUUCAGCGACUUCCAUCCCUGUGACGAUCAUUCCGGGUACAACCUCUCUGGUAAGUCUAACAAUAGCAUCCUCAGCAGCGUUCAUGUCCAAAGCUUUCAUCCCAGGAACAUGGUUGAUCAUGCCAAUGCU